rnacentral:rRNA from 1 species
ACUUUGAAAACUGAGGUAAAAUUCUGCGUUUUAGAAGUUUGAAAGCACUAACUCUAAAUUCAUGACUAUAAAAAAGGAUUAGAUACCCUUCUAUACUUGAAAACCGAACUUUAAGUAGUAAAAAUUAUAUUUUUGAAAUUUAAAGGGUUUGGCGGCUUCUGGAAUGAUCAGGGGAGUUUGUGUUUUAAUCGACAGUACGCGUUAGACCUUGCUUGACUUAUGUUUGUAUACCGCCGUCUAAACACCCUCAGAAGAGUUCAGUUGGGAUCAUUAAUGUGCGAACGUCAGGCCAUGGUGCAGCAAUAGUUAAGAUAAUCACAAACUACAUUUUAAAAAGCAUUGGAGUCAAGUUUAAAAGUUUGGUGAAAAUGGACUUGUAAGUAAUUAUCGGAUUAGAAUACAGUAAUGAAUUUAAAACUAGAAGUGUACAUAUCGCCCGUCGCUCU